rnacentral:tRNA from 1 species
GCCGUGAUGGUGGAAUGGUAGACACGAGGGACUUAAAAUCCCUUGGCCAGUAACGGCUGUGCGGGUUCGAGUCCCGCUCGCGGCA